ensembl:miRNA
UGAUAUUCAAAAGGUGGAUAUUCCUUCUAUGUUUACAGGAUUGACAGCUAAACAUAGAGGAAAAUCCACAUUUUAAGUAUCU